rnacentral:rRNA from 1 species
CCUACGGGAGGCAGCAGUGAGGAAUAUUGGUCAAUGGACGAGAGUCUGAACCAGCCAAGUAGCGUGAAGGAUGAUUGCCCUUUGGGUUAUAACCUUCUUUUAUAAAGGAAUAAAACGAGGCACGUGUGCCUGUCUGCAUGUACUUUAUGAUUAAGGACCGGUAAACUCCGUGCCAGCAGCCGCGGUAAUACGGAGGAGCCGAGCGUUAUCCGGGUUUAUUGGGUUUAAGGGGAGCGUAGAUGGGUUGUUAAGUAAGUUGAGAAAGUUUGCGGCAUAAGGGUAAAAUUGCAAUUGAUACUGGCAGUCUUGAGUACAAUUGAGGUAGGCGGAAUUCGUGGUGUAGCGGUGAAAUGCUUAGAUAUCACGAAGAACCCCGAUUGCGAAGGCAGCUUACUAAACUGUGACUGACAUUGAUGCUCGAAAGUGUGGGUAUCAAACAGGAUUAGAUACCCUGUAGUC